CUUGCUUCUCUUGAGAGCGGCGGACGGGUGAGUAAUGCCUAGGAAUCUGCCUGGUAGUGGGGGAUAACGUCCGGAAACGGACGCUAAUACCGCAUACGUCCUACGGGAGAAAGCAGGGGACCUUCGGGCCUUGCGCUAUCAGAUGAGCCUAGGUCGGAUUAGCUAGUUGGUGGGGUAAUGGCUCACCAAGGCGACGAUCCGUAACUGGUCUGAGAGGAUGAUCAGUCACACUGGAACUGAGACACGGUCCAGACUCCUACGGGAGGCAGCAGUGGGGAAUAUUGGACAAUGGGCGAAAGCCUGAUCCAGCCAUGCCGCGUGUGUGAAGAAGGUCUUCGGAUUGUAAAGCACUUUAAGUUGGGAGGAAGGGCAGUAAAUUAAUACUUUGCUGUUUUGACGUUACCGACAGAAUAAGCACUGGCUAACUCUGUGCCAGCAGCCGCGGUAAUACAGAGGGUGCAAGCGUUAAUCGGAAUUACUGGGCGUAAAGCGCGCGUAGGUGGUUCGUUAAGUUGGAUGUGAAAUCCCCGGGCUCAACCUGGGAACUGCAUUCAAAACUGACGAGCUAGAGUAUGGUAGAGGGUGGUGGAAUUUCCUGUGUAGCGGUGAAAUGCGUAGAUAUAGGAAGGAACACCAGUGGCGAAGCGACCACCUGGACUGAUACUGACACUGAGGUGCGAAAGCGUGGGGAGCAAACAAGAUUAGAUACCCUGGUAGUCCACGCCGUAAACGAAUGUCAACUAGCCGGUUGGGAGCCCUUGAGCUCUUAGUGGCGCAGCUAA
rnacentral:rRNA from 1 species